AUUUGCUUCACCCAGAUUCAAGAGCAUUUCGUCCACAGCAGCAAUUUUGAAGGCCUACUCUGUGUGAGCCCUGAUAUGACAAGCUGAGAUGCCAACUCAGUGAGACAGAAGUAUCAUCGGCAAUGAAGUGGAUGCAUAAUGUAUUUUCAAGGUCACGUGGAACAUGGGUUGGAGCUCAGCCAUUAAAGUCCAUUCCGAGUGAUGGUUCAUCUUCACAGUCAACUGCUCAGAUUUACAACUACUCAAGAGGCAUGUUUUUGGGGCACACAUUUACAAGAGUUCUCAGAGAAUUUUGACUGAGGAAGAAGAACCAUCUUGAUUGUGGGGAGGCACUAGACCAUGGGCUUGGAUCCUGGAGAGAGAAGAAUGCAAAAAGGGAGCAUUGGUGUUAAAUCUAGGUGCUUUCUGGCAUGGUGUAUGCAAAGUGACCAGCCACCUCGCUCUCCCAGUACCACACCCCUCCAUUGUGAUGGACCGUACCCUCCCAAUCCAUGAGCCAAACCCGAUCUUCCUUCUCUCAGUUGCUCUGAGCAGGUGUUUAGUCAGAGCACAUGGAAGCAGGUCGAAGGUCAACAAAGGACUGAAACACAGCAAACACCCACAAAGAAGCUGAGCAUCAAAGACCCCGAGCUGAGCACUGUGGGAGUCCUACUCUCUUGAAAAAUAUAAAAUACAAGCUCAACCAUCAGUUUACCAC